UACGUAGGGUGCGAGCGUUGUCCGGAAUUAUUGGGCGUAAAGAGCUCGUAGGCGGCUCAGUAAGUCAGGUGUGAAACCUCCAGGCUCAACCUGGAGACGCCACCUGAUACUGCUGUGGCUAGAGUCCGGUAGGGGAGCGUGGAAUUCCUGGUGUAGCGGUGAAAUGCGCAGAUAUCAGGAGGAACACCAGCGGCGAAGGCGGCGCUCUGGGCCGGAACUGACGCUGAGGAGCGAAAGCGUGGGUAGCAAACAGG
rnacentral:rRNA from 1 species